rnacentral:rRNA from 1 species
UUGAACGCUGGCGGCAGGCCUAACACAUGCAAGUCGAACGGUAACAGGAAGAAGCUUGCUUCUUUGCUGACGAGUGGCGGACGGGUGAGUAAUGUCUGGGAAACUGCCUGAUGGAGGGGGAUAACUACUGGAAACGGUAGCUAAUACCGCAUAACGUCGCAAGACCAAAGAGGGGGACCUUCGGGCCUCUUGCCAUCGGAUGUGCCCAGAUGGGAUUAGCUAGUAGGUGGGGUAACGGCUCACCUAGGCGACGAUCCCUAGCUGGUCUGAGAGGAUGACCAGCCACACUGGAACUGAGACACGGUCCAGACUCCUACGGGAGGCAGCAGUGGGGAAUAUUGCACAAAGGGCGCAAGCCUGAUGCAGCCAUGCCGCGUGUAUGAAGAAGGCCUUCGGGUUGUAAAGUACUUUCAGCGGGGAGGAAGGGAGUAAAGUUAAUACCUUUACUCAUUGACGUUACCCGCAGAAGAAGCACCGGCUAACUCCGUG